AAUUUUUAAAAAAGGAACGAUGCAGAGAAGAUUAGCAUGGCCCCUGCGCAAGGAUGACAUGCAAAUGUGUGAAGUGUUCCAUAUUUUU
rnacentral:snRNA from 1 species